rnacentral:rRNA from 1 species
UACCGUGAAUCGUUAGAGUGUUCAAAGCAGGCAGAUCCAAUUUUCUGCCACCGAAUACAUUAGCAUGGGAUAAUGGAAUAGGACCCUGUCCUCCUAACAUUGUCAGUUGGUUUGCCGCGAGGACCAGGGUAAUGAUUAGGGAUAGUUGGGGGCAUUAAUAUUUAAUUGUCAGAGGUGAAAUUCUUGGAUUUAUGAAAGAUUAACUUCUGCGAAAGCAUCUGCCAAGGAUGUCAAUCAUUAAUCAAGAACGAGUUAGGGGAUCGAAGACGAUCAGAUACCGUCGUAGUCUUAACCAUAGACGAUGCCGACCAGCGAUUAGGAGACGUUGAAUACAAAACACCACCAUGCGCAUUGCGGUCGUCUUUGGUGUCGCUCACAAGGCGGCACCGGGGCGGCUUAGCUCGCAUGGCACCGGUGAAUGACUCCCGAUGACCUGGUGUGAGAAC